rnacentral:rRNA from 1 species
GGAGUGCAACUGACGCUGAAGCUCGAAAGUGCGGGUAUCGAACAGGAUUAGAUACCCUGGUAGUCCGCACGGUAAACGAUGGAUGCCCGCUAUUCGCUCGAAUGAGUGAGUGGCCAAGCGAAAGCAUUAAGCAUCCCACCUGGGGAGUACGCCGGCAACGGUGAAACUCAAAGGAAUUGACGGGGGCCCGCACAAGCGGAGGAACAUGUGGUUUAAUUCGAUGAUACGCGAGGAACCUUACCCGGGCUUGAAUUGCAGAUGAACGAUCCAGAGAUGGUGAGGCCCUUCGGGGCAUCUGUGAAGGUGCUGCAUGGUUGUCGUCAGCUCGUGCCGUGAGGUGUCGGCUUAAGUGCCAUAACGAGCGCAACCCCUGUUCUUAGUUGCCAUCAGGUAAUGCUGGGCACUCUGGGAAUACUGCCACCGUAAGGUGUGAGGAAGGUGGGGAUGACGUCAAAUCAGCACGGCCCUUACGUCCGGGGCUACACACGUGUUACAAUGGCCGGUACAGAGAGUUGGUCGUGCGCAAGUACGGUCUAAUCCAUAAAACCGGUCUCAGUUCGGACUGGGGUCUGCAACCCGACCCCACGAAGCUGGAUUCGCU